rnacentral:lncRNA from 1 species
CGGCGGGCCGCGACCGGCCUGAGCGCUGCUCGCGGCCGGGGGACGCCCGUCCGCUGGCCCCCAGGAGCCGGGCCCUGCCCGCUCGGCGGGGCUCCUUGCGGCAGGAAAUUGAUCAAUGGAGGAAACUGACCUGGAUUGAUCCAGUCUGA